AAAAGCCUUUGGUUUUAAAGAUAA
rnacentral:snRNA from 1 species